rnacentral:lncRNA from 1 species
GCCAGGCCUAAUCAGAAGUUGCUGUGCAGGAGAUAAGCAGCACAAAGAAAGUCUGGCACAUUCACAGCUGCAGCAGAAGACAAGCAGAGGUGCCAGCGGUGUCCUACUCAGGGUCAUUGUCCUGAAGGAUGGCUCUAUACCCAGCAAGAGGUACCAUUUGGGCCCCCACUCUCCUCUGUGCUCACUGUAGCAGCAAAGGACUGCAAAGGCAUGAGGAAGCUGGCUUAAACAGAUGAUGAGACAUUCCCUUCUAUAAAGAAAAUUU